AUACGGAGGAUCCAAGCGUUAUCCGGAAUCAUUGGGUUUAAAGGGUCCGUAGGCGGGUUUGUAAGUCAGUGGUGAAAGUUUUCGGCUCAACCGGAAAAUUACCAUUGAUACUGCAAGUCUUGAAUCAUUAUGAAGUGGUUAGAAUGUGUAGUGUAGCGGUGAAAUGCAUAGAUAUUACACAGAAUACCGAUUGCGAAGGCAGAUCACUAAUAAUGUAUUGACGCUAAGGGACGAAAGCGUGGGUAGCGAACAGGAUUAGAAACCCGAGUAGUCC
rnacentral:rRNA from 1 species